UUAGUUAGAAUUGAAAUCACACCAGAAAUUCAGAAAAUUCUCUUCUAUAAUCUUGAGCGUAUUUCUUUAGAGUUUUAAGAAGCUUUGAGCGUAGUACAAGUUUUCUUCAAGUAUAUCUCCGCCCUACCCGUCGGAGUACUCUUCUUUAUAAGGUAAAGGAUAUUAUUUGUUGUACUCGUAAGGGGUAUUAUUUCUUUUGUAUUCAUGAAGAGAACUUCUGUUAU
rnacentral:lncRNA from 1 species